rnacentral:tRNA from 1 species
GUUUCUGUAGUGUAGUGGUUAUCACGUUUGCCUAACACGCAAAAGGUCCCUGGUUCGGAAGACCGGCAGAAACA